rnacentral:rRNA from 1 species
CCUACGGGGGGCAGCAGUGAGGAAUAUUGGUCAAUGGGCGCGAGCCUGAACCAGCCAAGUAGCGUGAAGGAUGACUGCCCUACGGGUUGUAAACUUCUUUUAUAAAGGAAUAAAGUGAGGCACGUGUGCCUUUUUGUAUGUACUUUAUGAAUAAGGAUCGGCUAACUCCGUGCCAGCAGCCGCGGUAAUACGGAGGAUCCGAGCGUUAUCCGGAUUUAUUGGGUUUAAAGGGUGCGCAGGCGGAGUUGCAAGUCAGCGGUAAAAUUGCGGGGCUCAACCCCGUACUGCCGUUGAAACUGCAUCGCUUGAGUGCGUGAGAGGUAUGCGGAAUGCGUGGUGUAGCGGUGAAAUGCAUAGAUAUCACGCAGAACUCCGAUUGCGAAGGCAGCAUACCGGCGCGCAACUGACGCUCAUGCACGAAAGCGUGGGUAUCGAACAGGAUUAGAUACCCUUGUAGUC